rnacentral:other from 1 species
AGUCUUCUCGGACGUGCGUCAGGUUGCUCUCAAUCCCUUGAGCCUUAAUCUGCGACUAUGGGGGGUGCAUCAAAUGAGUCGUGUGCAGGUCCGCCUCGUCGGAAAGCCUUAAACCCAUUGCGCGCCGCCCAGCUUGAACCCUCGGUUCAAGGUCGAAGAGCCGCCAACGGCGUUUAAGCCAG